GUACGACCCGUAAUACCGUCAGUCCCCGGAACUAACGUUAACUGUUUGUGUGUCACAUCGUGAUGAGGACGGCGGAGUAAAAAAGAAAGAAAGGUCGGGGAGAAGAGGAGCAGAGCCGCGAGGAACUUUAACAUGAAGUCUGAGAGGAAGCUGUCAGCGGACCAGGGGACAGAUGUUCUGGAAGUGAUUGUUGGUGAAGUGGAGCAGCAGGAGUGUAGCUCCAGUGUGGACCAGCAGGAGGCAGAGCCCCCCCCAUACAUUAAAGAGGAACAGGAGGAACUGUGGAGCAGUCAGGAGGGAGAGCAGCUUC